rnacentral:rRNA from 1 species
ACUCUCGAAAGGGAGAGAGGUAAAGUAGGCCUCUGAAUUCACGCUUACACUCGAGGAUGAGCCCGCGGCCCAUCAUGGUAGUUGGUAGGGUAAUGGCCUACCAAGCCGAAGACGGGUAGCUGGUCUUAGAGGAUGAUCAGCCACACUGGAACUGAGACACGGUCCAGACUCCUACGGGAGGCAGCAGUGGGGAAUCUUGCGCAAUGGGCGAAAGCCUGACGCAGCGACGCCGCGUGGGUGAUGAAGGCCUUCGGUCGUAAGACUCUGUGGGGAGGAGACGAAUAAGACGUGGCUAAUAAUCCACGGCGAUGACGGUAUCUCCUUAGCAAGCACCGGCUAACUCUGUG